rnacentral:lncRNA from 1 species
UGCAAAGUCUUUAUUUUUCCGCUGCCAUAUAUUUUGACUAGCAUGUGUAGGGUGUACUAGACUUGUUAGUAUUGCUAAAAUCUGUCAACCAUAAAAUUGGGAAAAUGCUACGAUUUUAAUCUUGUCAAGUAGUCUAGUCACCCCCUCUAGACACACCUUCUAACGAUCCUACAAUGGGUACAACUCUGAACAUCUCCUAGUUCUUAAAGAUUGGUACUAAUAUACUCCGUCUUCAUUCUUCU